UACAGAGGGUGCAAGCGUUAAUCGGAAUUACUGGGCGUAAAGCGUGCGCAGACGGUUGCGUAAGUCAGAUGUGAAAGCCCCGGGCUCAACCUGGGAAUGGCGAUGGAUACUGGCUCGCUAGAGUGCGGUAGAGGAGAGUGGAAUUCCCGGUGUAGCAGUGAAAUGCGUAGAGAUCGGGAGGAACAUCAGUUGCGAAGGCGGCUCUCUGGACCAGCACUGACACUGAGGCACGAAAGCGUGGGGAGCAAACAGG
rnacentral:rRNA from 1 species